rnacentral:rRNA from 1 species
CAUGCAAGUCGAACGAAACUUAGUGAACCUCGGUUUGCUAAGUUUAGUGGCGCACGGGUGCGUAACGCGUGGGAACCUACCCCUAGCUGCGGAAUAACUCAGAGAAAUUUGAGCUAAUACCGCAUAAUGUCGCAAGACCAAAGAUUUAUCGGCAAGGGAUGAGCCCGCGUAAGAUUAGCUUGUUGGUGAGGUAAAAGCUCACCAAGGCGACGAUCUUUAGCUGGUCUGAGAGGAUGAUCAGCCACACUGGGACUGAGACACGGCCCAGACUCCUACGGGAGGCAGCAGUGGGGAAUAUUGGACAAUGGGCGCAAGCCUGAUCCAGCAAUGCCGCGCGAGUGAUGAAGGCCCUAGGGUUGUAAAGCUCUUUUACUAGGGAUGACAAUGACAGUACCUAGAGAAUAAGCUCCGGCUAACUCCGUGCCAGCAGCCGCGGUAAUACGGAGGGAGCUAGCGUUGUUCGGAAUUACUGGGCGUAAAGCGCGCGUAGGCGGCUCGUCAAGUCAGGGGUGAAAGCCCGGGGCUCAACCCCGGAACUGCCUUUGAAACUAGCGAGCUAGAAUCUUGUAGAGGUUAGCGGAAUUCCGAGUGUAGAGGUGA